UGGAUCCAGACUUUGAUCCUGGCUCAGGAUGAACGCUAGCUACAGGCUUAACACAUGCAAGUCGAGGGGCAGCAUGAAGUCAGCUUGCUGACUUUGAUGGCGACCGGCGCACGGGUGCGUAACGCGUAUCGAACCUACCUCUUACACAGGGAUAGCCUUGCGAAAGUAAGAUUAAUACCUGAUGUUGUCGGUGCUUCGCAUGAGGCGCCGACCAAAGAAUUUCGGUAAGAGAUGGCGAUGCGUCUGAUUAGGUAGUUGGUGGGGUAACGGCCCACCAAGCCGACGAUCAGUAGGGGUUCCGAGAGGAAGGUCCCCCACAUUGGAACUGAGACACGGUCCAAACUCCUACGGGAGGCAGCAGUGAGGAAUAUUGGUCAAUGGGCGCGAGCCUGAACCAGCCAAGUAGCGUGCAGGAUGACGGCCCUAUGGGUUGUAAACUGCUUUUAGUUGGGAAUAAAACGCGGGACUUGUCCCGUCUUGUAGGUACCAUCAGAAAAAGGACCGGCUAAUUCCGUGCCAGCAGCCGCGGUAAUACGGAAGGUCCAGGCGUUAUCCGGAUUUAUUGGGUUUAAAGGGAGCGUAGGCGGAUUCUUAAGUCAGUUGUGAAAGUCGGCCGCUCAACGGUCGAAUUGCAGUUGAAACUGGGAGUCUUGAGUGCACGCAGGGAUGCCGGAAUUCAUGGUGUAGCGGUGAAAUGCUUAGAUAUCAUGAAGAACUCCGAUCGCGAAGGCAAGUGUCCGGAGUGCAACUGACGCUGAGGCUCGAAAGUGUGGGUAUCAAACAGGAUUAGAUACCCUGGUAGUCCACACGGUAAACGAUGAAUACUCGCGGUUUGCGAUAUACGGUAAGCCGCCAAGCGAAAGCAUUAAGUAUUCCACCUGGGGAGUACGCCGGCAACGGUGCAACUCAAAGGAAUUGACGGA
rnacentral:rRNA from 1 species